rnacentral:rRNA from 1 species
GAUGAACGCUGGCGGCGUGCCUAAUACAUGCAAGUCGAGCGAACGGACGAGAAGCCUGCUUCUCUGAUGUUAGCGGCGGACGGGUAAGUAACACGUGGAUAACCUACCUAUAAGACUGGGAUAACUUCGGGAAACCGGAGCUAAUACCGGAUGAUAUUUUGAACCGCAUGGUUCAAAAGUGAAAGACGGUCUUGCUGUCACUUAUAGAUGGAUCCGCGCUGCAUUAGCUAGUUGGUAAGGUAACGGCUUACCAAGGCAACGAUGCAUAGCCGACCUGAGAGGGUGAUCGGCCACACUGGAACUGAGACACGGUCCAGACUCCUACGGGAGGCAGCAGUAGGGAAUCUUACGCAAUGGGCGAAAGCCUGACGGAGCAACGCCGCGUGAGUGAUGAAGGUCUUCGGAUCGUAAAACUCUGUUAUUAGGGAAGAACAUAUGUGUAAGUAACUGUGCACAUCUUGACGGUACCUAAUCAGAAAGCCACGGCUAACUACGUG